ACUAUUUAAAAUAUAUUCCAGCAAAUCCCCUAACUAACUCACACGUGCCUAUAUUAGUCCCUCUUCCCUUGUCUAUUGUAUUGAUGAAUAAUAGAAGGUCUAUCAAAUGCUUGAUGAACGAUUCGGAGAUCAGCAUACGCAUUAAAAAGUUGCUCGAGUAUUGUUGCAAGCACUUCGUAGUACAAAUGUUUAUUAUGUUCUCCACGACUACACCUGUGACCAUGCAUGUAUGAAGAUGAUGGAUCGAUCCCUAAAUCAUUGUAUUAUUGCUCAAAGUUUGAUGAUGAUAGACAUGCCUUUGAAUUGUAAUAUCUUGUUCCAAAGUCUAACGAUUCACCGACUCUUGAAUCAUAAUAUGUCGUUCCAAAUGAUAGCAUCAGACUAACGUAAGCAAGCUUGAUUUGUGUUUGUGUCAUGGGAGGCACUUCUUCCGCGUGUUAGUCAACUUCUUCCAAUUGAUCCAGCUUUUGCCCUCGACCACAUCUCCUUUGAACUGGAGCAGGUCCAAUAGGGACACUCGCGACCACAUCUCCUUUGAACUGGAGCAAGUCCAAUAGGGACAUCGUACAUAUAGUGAAUAUUCUCCAUGUACUGCUUAUUAUCGUUGCAUAUAUUUAGGACCUAUUGUACCUAUUGUGGAUCAUCUGCAUCAUCUUGAAGUCUACCAUUGUUCGAUCUCUUUUAAAUAUUAAAAUGAAUUAGAAAUCAUUGAAAAUAAA